rnacentral:rRNA from 1 species
AUUGAACGCUGGCGGCAGGCCUAACACAUGCAAGUCGAGCGGAGCGGCGGACGGGUGAGUAAUGCCUAGGAAUCUGCCUGGUCGUGGGGGGUAACGUCCGGAAACGAGCCCUAAUACCGCAUCCUUUCAGAUGGGCCUAGGUCGGAUUAGAUAGUUGGGGGGGUAAAGGCCUACCAAGGCGACGAUCCCUAGCUGGUCUGAGAGGAUGACCAGCCACACUGGAACUGAGACACGGUCCAGACUCCUACGGGAGGCAGCAGUGGGGAAUAUUGCACAAUGGGCGCAAGCCUGAUGCAGCCAUGCCGCGUGUAUGAAGAAGGCCUUCGGGUUGUAAAGUACUUUCAGCGGGGAGGCGUUACCCGCAGAAGAAGCACCGGCUAACUCCGUGCCAGCCGCCGCGGUAAUUC